AUUGAACGCUGGCGGCAUGCCUUACACAUGCAAGUCGAACGGCAGCACGGGAGCAAUCCUGGUGGCGAGUGGCGAACGGGUGAGUAAUAUAUCGGAACGUGCCCAGUCGUGGGGGGAUAACGUAGCGAAAGCUACGCUAAUACCGCAUACGAUCUAUGGAUGAAAGCGGGGGAUCGCAAGACCUCGCGCGAUUGGAGCGGCCGAUAUCAGAUUAGGUAGUUGGUGGGGUAAAAGCCUACCAAGCCUUCGAUCUGUAGCUGGUCUGAGAGGACGACCAGCCACACUGGAACUGAGACACGGUCCAGACUCCUACGGGAGGCAGCAGUGGGGAAUUCUGGACAAUGGGCGCAAGCCUGAUCCAGCAAUGCCGCGUGUGUGAAGAAGGCCUGCGGGUUGUAAAGCACUUUCAGUGGGGAAGAACAGGUUCGGGUCAAUACCCGGAGCCCUGACGUUACCCACAGAAGAAGCACCGGCUAACUCCGUGCCAG
rnacentral:rRNA from 1 species